rnacentral:rRNA from 1 species
UACGAAGGGGGCUAGCGUUGCUCGGAAUCACUGGGCGUAAAGCGCACGUAGGCGGACUCUUAAGUCGGUGGUGAAAUCCUGGAGCUCAACUCGGAAAGGUCAGCCGAUACUGCGGGGCUAGAGUGCAGAAGGGGCAACUGGAAUUCUCGGUGUAGCGGUGAAAUGCGUAGAUAUCGAGAGGAACACCUGCGGCGAAGGCGGGUUGCUGGGCUGACACUGACGCUGAUUGUGCGAAAGCUAGGGGAGCGAACGGG